GGGGGGGGUGUUAUUUAUAGUCUAGAUGCUUGGAAGUAUACUUACUUUUCAGUAUUAACUAUCUCUGCCUUCCCAUUCCUUUAUCAAAGUCUAGCACUUAUGGGUGCUAGUGGGAUGUUUCGCCUUUCUUCUUGAGGACCUUAGUGAAAGCCUUGAAGUAUCAUGAGUAAGGAGUACAUAACAAUUAAUUUGCACAGCCCAUCCAAGUGUUAUGGCCUCUCUUGCAUCAGCAACUGAUAUUGAAACAGUACCAACUUGCACCUUCUUGUACUUGAAAACUAGUAACUUCUCCACUUGCAUGAUCAAAAUACUCGCAGGAUGUCCCAACAAAAACCUUGUAAUGCAAUAUCCAAAUAUCUGCUCUGUUGGCCUUUUUGUUUAAAGGAGGAGUAUCAUGCUUACAAGCUCUCAGUAGAAGACCCAUGUUUGUAGGCCAACCUCCAUUUUGUUUUUGUGUCCUACAUGAAGUCAGAGACUAUUAAUUAUCACCUUCGUACAGCCAUCAACAGAGAUGUUUAUCUUAAAAAAAGGUCAUUGGCAUAAAUACUGCCCACAUCGCCAGUGAGCAAUUCAAAAUGCUAGUCAGCAAUCCUCAUUCCAAAAGUGCAAGCCAAGAAAAUAGGCUUUGAUCCUUCUCACUCCUUGUCUAUCACUGUGGCAAAUCCACUUGAACAUUUAUUAAAGUGUAUAUAGACUUUGUCCAGAGGGGCUUUGUCUAUCACUGUGGCAAAUCCACUGGAACAUGGAUUAAAGUGUUUAUUGAUUUUGUCCAGAAGAUACCAGUUUUGCUUCAAGUUUCAACUAUGUAGGACUUGUAGAACUGACAGUAUCGGUUUUGCUGCUGGCCGCAGUGUUAUCCGUGUGAUAUACAAUCAAGAGAUUGGUUCUUGGGGAGUCUGGCAUUGACCGAUAUGAUAAGGGUUCUUUUACUACAAAGGUUGGAGACUAGUCAAAUGCCAUAUGCCCACUAGCCACAUAAAGUCUCACUCAUGUUCUUUUUAUUUAUUUUUUAUUUUUUCUUUAUUCUUAUAUUUAAAAUGUUGAUGACUAUAUGAGUUUGGCUUACUGCAGCAAGAGAGAAUGGAGAAGGAAGAGGAGAUCAGAAGAAUGAGAGCACAGCUAAUCAGAGAAAACAAAGAGCGGGAGUCUCUUGCCUAAGCGGCCAAGAAUUGCAAUGCAUUCAAAUCAACAAUUUAUUUUUGCUGUCUUUUUGAAUGUUUCUGGACUUCUGGUUCUCUACUGAAUUUCCAAAGAAUCAUGGAACAAUGGUCAUGAAUUUCUUCUAUGUACUCAAAGCUUGGACCUGUCUAGCUAUAUGCCGUUCAAAGCAGGAUUAUUCUUGCACUAUUAAACCUGUAGCUACUUUUAAUCUGACAAUAAAUGCCAAUUUUUUUUGUUUAGUUGGAGUAAAUUAUGGUGAAUUGCUAUUUAUUGGUUACUCUUGCAUAACCAGUGC
rnacentral:lncRNA from 1 species